GCCCACAUGUGACCUGAUUCUUCAGGUACACUAAGGUGUCAGAAACUCAGCUCAGCUGGAAGAAACUUGAUGUACCAGGUAUCAGAGUAGCAAGUAAAGCCACAAGCCAAAAAUGAAAGAGAAUCUUUUAAGUGCUUAUCGUGAUGGUGUAAGUAAUUGUCCAAAAGAAACGCCGAUUCCUUCUGUUCCAUUUUUACCUGUGGAUUGUGGAUUGAAAUAACCAUUGGACCAUGAGGAGAGACUCUGAAGAGAGGCUAGUGAUAUGUGAUAUAAUACUCUUUUGUGACGUUGGACCAUGGCAGUGAGCCGCAGCUCCCAGUCAGCAAUGCGAUCCCAAGAAUAAACAACCGAUUCUUGACAGUGUCCUAUGUUGCCAGUCGAUUUUGUUCAACAGUAGGUACAUGCAAGUACACCCCACUCCCAAAUUAAAAAGAUUGACCUUAGCCAAACAUAACACGAGAUGGGGGUUCUGCUAUGCUGCCCAGACUGUUUUCAAAUUCCUGGCCUGAAGUGAUCCUCCUGCCUUGGCCUUCCAAAGCACUGGGAUUACAGGUGUGAGCCACCAUUCCCAGUCUUAAUAUUAAGUAUUUAUGGGAUGCUUCUUGGUCUUAUCGGCAUAACCAUUAUUAAAUAUUAAUUAUACUUUUGUAGGUUGAAUUAUUAGAAAUUUGGCCUAUUU
rnacentral:lncRNA from 1 species